UAGGGAAUCUUCCGCAAUGGACGCAAGUCUGACGGAGCAACGCCGCGUGAGUGAAGAAGGAUUUCGGUUCGUAAAACUCUGUUGUUAGAGAAGAACAGCGCAUAGAGUAACUGUUAUGCGUGUGACGGUAUCUAACCAGAAAGCCACGGCUAACUACGUGCCAGCAGCCGCGGUAAUACGUAGGUGGCAAGCGUUGUCCGGAUUUAUUGGGCGUAAAGCGAGCGUAGGCGGUCAAUUAAGUCUGCUGUGAAAGCCCCCGGCUCAACCGGGGAGGGUCAUUGGAAACUGGUUGACUUGAGUGCAGAAGAGGAGAGUGGAAAUCCAUGUGUAGCGGUAAAAUGCGUAGAUAUAUGGAGGAACACCAGUGGCGAAGGCGACUCUCUGGUCUGUAACUGACGAUGACGCUCGACAGCGUGGGUAGCAAACAGG
rnacentral:rRNA from 1 species